UACGGGGGAGCAAGCGUUGUUCGGAUUUACUGGGCGUAAAGGGCGCGUAGGCGGCCAGCACAAGUCAGUUGUGAAAUCUCCGAGCUUAACUCGGAAAGGUCAACUGAUACUGUGCGGCUAGAGUGCGGAAGGGGCAACUGGAAUUCUUGGUGUAGCGGUGAAAUGCGUAGAUAUCAAGAGGAACACCUGCGGCGAAGGCGGGUUGCUGGGCCGACACUGACGCUGAUGCGCGAAAGCUAGGGGGAGCGAACGGG
rnacentral:rRNA from 1 species